rnacentral:rRNA from 1 species
GACGAACGCUGGCGGUGUGCUUAACACAUGCAAGUGGUGCGACAAACCAGAGCUUGCUCUGGGGCAAAGCCGCGAACGGGUGAGUAACACGUGGGUAAUCUACCCCGAUGACCGGGACAACCCGAGGAAACUCGGGCUAAUACCGGAUGUGGUACGGAGACAUAAGUCUCUUUACUAAAGGUAGCUUCGGCUUCCGCAUUGGGAGGGGCCCGCGGCCCAUUAGCUAGUUGGUGGGGUCAAGGCCUACCAAGGCAACGAUGGGUAGCUGGUCUGAGAGGACGAUCAGCCACACUGGGACUGAGACACGGCCCAGACUCCUACGGGAGGCAGCAGUGGGGAAUCUUGCGCAAUGCGCGAAAGCGUGACGCAGCAACACCGCGUGAGGGAAGACGGGCCUUAGGGUUGUAAACCUCUUUCAGAUGGGACGAAGGUGAUGCGGUGAAUAGCCGAUGUCAUUGACGGUACCGUCAGAAGAAGCUCCGGCUAACUACGUGCCAGCAGCCGCGGUAA